rnacentral:rRNA from 1 species
GACGAACGCUGGCGGCGUGCUUAGCACAUGCAAGUCGAACGAUGAAGCCGGAGCUUGCUCUGGUGAAUUAGUGGCGAACGGGUGAGUAACACGUGAGUAACCUGCCCUUGACUCUGGGAUAACUGCUAGAAAUGGUAGCUAAUACCGGAUACGACCCUCGGAGGCAUCUUCAGGGGGUGGAAAGAAUUUCGGUCAAGGAUGGACUCGCGGCCUAUCAGCUAGUUGGUGAGGUAAUGGCUCACCAAGGCGACGACGGGUAGCCGGCCUGAGAGGGUGACCGGCCACACUGGGACUGUGACACGGCACAGACGCCUACGGGAGGCAGCAGUGGGGAAUAUUGCACAAUGGGCGCAAGCCUGAUGCAGCAACGCCGCGUGAGGGAUGACGGCCUUCGGGUUGUAAACCUCUUUUAGUAGGGAAGAAGCGAAAGUGACGGUACCUGCAGAAAAAGCACCGGCUAACUACGUGCCAGCCGCCGCGGUAA